rnacentral:lncRNA from 1 species
GGAGGUUGCGGUGGCGGCGGCGGUGGUGGUGGUGGAGUUGAAUGCAGUAAUGGAUGCAUGAUGAGAUUAUUAUUAUUAUUAUUAUUUCCCUUGCUGUGUUGAAUGCGAGCUCAGGGGGUUGGUGAUGUUUGUUUAAAUAUUUAACUUCUGAUCGAGUCAGAGGUACGUGCCUGACGAGUCAAGUUUACCAUGUUUCCGAUUUUACUGUGCUUCAACAGUGAGUUGAUCUCUAUCUUUUAAAGCAGAAGAGUAUGCUUGGCUAAUAUAAAUUUUAGAAUGAAUUCAUCUAUGGGGAAAAUGAUAUUAAAGCAGGAGGGCAGUCGAGGCAGGUGAGAUCAGAUUUUGGUCGGAUCAAAUGUAAAAAAGAUAAAAAAUUUAUUUUUAUUAAAAAAAAAGAUAAAAAUUGGAAAAGGAUGAUUCGACGCAUUUAUCUCUUCUGGAUAUGAUCAUAGGGCCCCAAUCCUCGAGAAUGUUCGAUUCGAGAUUGAAUUUGGAUGAAUAGACGGCCUCCUUCCCACCAUAUAAAUAAACUCAACAUACGUCACUCCAGUACCAUCGAGGACCAACGGAUCAGGUGUCGUUUUUAAACGUCAUGCUUAUACUUGAUUAAUAUAAAUUUUAGAAUAAAUUCAUCUCUAGACAAAAUGAUAUUAAAGCAGGAGGG